CCAAAAUAUUCUCUCAACCUGAAAGUUUAUAGAUGGUGUGUCAUUUAUAGUAAGUCUCCAGAAUAUUCUCUCAAAUUUCUCUUGUAAUAACUGUCCUAGGCAGUUUAUGAAAUUAUGAAGACAAGAGAUUGAAGUGGAUAAUCCAAGGAGCAAAGGCUUGGGGGGCAGGGGGGAUCCUAAACCAGGGCCCCCUGAAGAAGGCAAAGGCCACUCACAGAGGGUGCAAGGCUUCUGGGAAGUUGCUCGAGAAGUUGAGUCUAUAUGGAGAGUGGUGAAGAGGCCCCACCCAUCCCCAUCGCGAGGACCGCAGCUGCCAAGCCAGCCUGGUGAUGUCUCCUCGCAGGCCUGCUCUGCCGAGAACGCCGUGAGCAGAAUCCCAUUUAAUCUUCUCAACAACCCUUUGUAGUAGGUAUUUUUAUUUCUAAUUUUACCCUACAAAUGAAGGAAAUACGAUGUGGAGAGGUUGAAUCACUUGCUCAAGGUCAUGCAGCUACUAAGUAGAGCUAGAGCCCAAUUCCUGCCCGUGCUGUUAAAAGUUGGGGGUUUCCCCAUUGUAGGAUUUUUAAUUCCGUUUGCUGGAAUGCCAGCCCUUUUUCGGUCCUUGGCCAUCUUGGAAUAGUCUUGUUUCCACAAUCUCUUCUUCAGCCUGUCAAAGCCACAGAAAGGUCUCCAGGAGACCAGGCCCAGGAGGUGGUAAGCGCUUCAGUCCCUAUGAAAGCUGUGUUCAUGGGAGACCGCACAUGCCCCCCUGGCAGCCACAGGACCUCUGCCAAGGGUGCCAAUAGAGGGGGAGUCUCAGGUCAUGGCAGACUGGACCUGUGGUUAUGUGCUUGUGCUGGGGUCAGGCAUUUCAGUUUAUUUGUGCUUAGCUAUGUCUGGGCCUCCACUGGAGUGACCACUCUAGAGAUGGCUGGGAUGGUCCAGCUGGGGCUCUGCCUGGGGCCCGGCUUCUGUCUGCCAGGUAGAUUCCUCCAUCCCUCCCCUGGUAGCAUCCACGGGGCCAAAACAUCCAAAGUGGCUUUUCACUCACAUUCCUGGAACCUCCCCCAUCUUCCAUGUGGCCUUUCUCCAGGAGAGUGGCCUGAUCUUGUGCUGUUGUCCAGGCUCUCAGAACCAUGGCCUCUGCUCCUGUCCACUGCAGGCCCCACUGUCCUCCUCCACCCCCUCCUCUGUUGUCCAGGUAACUGUCACAUCAUGAGACCCUGCCUCGGUGUGUACGUACAAUUCACUGGGCCAGGAUCCAACAGGAGCUGGCCAACGACCUUUGAAGUCAUCUGACCCCACAAUGGAAGUGAAGCAGCCAGACUAGUCAGGCUCCUCCUUUUGUAAAUUUGAGCCAGAAAUCAAAAAAGGUAGUGUGUGACCAGGUGUCAUGAGGGCAAGCCGGGCCUGGAUGGACCAGUGUUAGUCACAGUGACACUGGAGGAAAAAGAGUGAAGGAAACAAAGCAAACCGUGACGUGGAGAAGGUCGUGGAGGGGAAGCAAGCCUUGUUUGGAGCAAGUGCAUAGAGGACAGAAGGCCAGGGCAGAGCCGCCAGCCCUGAGCUGCCCUGUUGCUGUGGCUCCCUGGGCCCAGCCUCGCCCAGGUGAUACCACAGCAGCCGCACUGGCUGUUACCUUUGCUUGCAGUUGGCUUAGAAGUGGGCCUGCUACUUCAUUCUGCUAAUAACUUAGGGGAAGUGACAGGGACUGCCCGAGCCCCUGAGGCGGCAAGCACAAGGGGGAGGCCAGCAUGCAGAGGUGACAGCAGACAGGCAAAAGGAGCCUGGGUCCUUGAUGACAGGGUUGAGCCACUAUACCUAUCCUGGAACUACCUACUUCCAGUAUUGUUGCUGUGUAAGUUAAAAGUCUUAUUUUCUAAGCAGAUUUUUGCUACUUGCAGCCUGAAGCAUUCCUAUCCCCGUAGCUGCCCCUUAGAGCACAUGGCUCUUUCUGGAGCUCCAAGUGGAGACUCACCCUGAGUGUUAACAUGAGAAGCCCUGUUCAUACGACAGGAAAUAAAAGUCAGGAUUUGUCACAGCUCACACAGCUGUUAGUUCCAACUGCCAGGGCCUAUAGGAUACAGACAAGGAAAGAAAAAUAUUCAGGACAUUUCCACAUGUAUGGGCAUGAGUCUUCUAAACUGGGGCUCAAUAACGAAUUUGAGGAAGAUCAAGUUCAGUGGGGGGGGGUUAAUGCCUAAGAUCCAAAGCCCAAGCAAGGUUCAGGAAGCCAUGGGAGGAGCAGGAAGUUGAGCUGAACAAAUGGUAGGUAGGUUGGACAAAUUCUGGGAAGGAUGCCCAGGACUCCAGGUGGAUGCGAGGGCUCGGCGGACCACCCAGAAAUAAGCCUAAGCACCUGGAACUAACCAUGGCCCUGACCCGCCCACCUGCCGACCUUCCUGAUGCUUUAGGUUCUCAAGGAGUAAGAUUUCCCCCGCGGCCCUCGGUUGCCACCCUGGCAAGCCCUGUUUCCUUAUUCCUCAUCUCUUCUCCCUCCAUCUUCCCCUUUUUUCCUCCACUUUUGUCCUCUCUGUGCAAAGCCAGGCCUCAGAAAUGCACAAGACCUGAGUCAUUUCUAACGCAAUUGGGGGAUUAAAAUGGAGGCGAGGGUAUUUUGCUAGAAUGGCAAUCUGGGAAGAGGAGUUAGAUUGGCGGGAGGGGAAGCAAUUGGUAAAUGAGGACUGGAGAAAGCUUCCUUCCGGUCCAACUCUCAUGUUCUUUUGUGUGUUUUUAACAUAAGAAAUGUACCCAUUCUUCCCUUAGAAAAUGGGAAGCUGAACUCAAGAGCCCUAGCCCUUCUUUUUUGAAACUCUUUUUAAAAAUAUAAAACGAAGAUUAGACUGGCAUCUUCUUAAUCAGUCUUACCAAUGCAUACUGUUCCCCUGCAUUCAGACCCUGAGAAAAGCCACCAGCCCCAUUUCCCAUCUCUGAAUGAUCUUGUGCAGAUGUGACCCAUAGAAGUUCUUCAAAUCUUUGGAGCCCAGCCACAGAUGUGUUGCAAUCUUAGAAGUUGUGACCACCAGUUUCUGUCACUGAGCCUCGGCCCUCUCGGUGCAGUACUGUGCUCCUGCGCAAGGCAUGCAGGCCUGUGCCCCAGGCUGAAUAGCCCAAAAAGAAAAUCCUGUAACCAGAGGAGUGAAAUUCCUGGUUGGAGUGAAUGAAGCAAAAAGUUUAACCCCUGCCUUGUGAUAGGAUGAACACAUCAGAGCAUUCUGUGAGCCCUGCAUGUCCCUGGGAGUCACCAAAGAGCCUCUGAAACUCUUGAGACCAAAGGCACUUGUUCCCCCGGCUGCUGCUCAUCAAGACUUUUCUCCAGUAUGAAGUAGCCUGAUGACUGACCUAGAGUGCGCUCAUCUCUCAAAGACGGCGUCUCCUGUGAAUCCCCCAAUGAUGAGAAAGAGCUAAGCAGGCCCAUGUGAUCCUACCCAUUAGCCUCUCUCCAGGGUGACCUAAUGUCCCCGCAGCCACGCUACCCCUAGACGGUCUGCCAUAUUCAUGACACCUGACCAGCAUAAGGCCCAUUUGAGUCCAUUGGUAUUGUCCAAGGACAGGACUCUGAUGAAGCCACCUCUUCCUCCAUUAUGCUUCCAGGACCCCUCUCUGCUGCAAACUCCCAGAUGUCUGGCUGGUGCCAAGCACUAUUUAAAGACAGUCGUUUGUUUGCAUUCAUCACAUGCAUAUGGUUUUUCUCCAGUGUGAAUUCUUUGACGUUGAAUGAGCUUUGCUUUCUGAAAGCCCUCCCACAUUUUAUCACAUCUGUAGUUUCUGUUGCAUGUGACAUAGCCAGUGCCGUGGGGGGGGUGCUGACAGAUGCCUCUCCCCACCCACUCUCUACAAGAUGAGUGUUAUUUCAAAAGGACUGGAGCCCCAAGAAAAUUGCCUGUAUUCACAACAGUCAAAGCUGUUCUCUCCGAUAUGAAACUGUAACACUGAAUAAAUCCGGAAUCCUUACCCAAGACUUGGCCACGCGUGUCUUACUUGGACCUUAUCUCACUUCUAAAAAGUUGAAGUGCAGAUUUUUCCAUGUUUACCACACUUAAGGGAUGGGGUCCCUGAGACAGUGCUCUGGGGUGUGUCCGUCUUCAUGGCCUGGCCAGCAUUGGCGACCCCCUCGGCGCGGCCUCUUUGCUCCCUCUGCUGUAGAAGACCCUGUUUGGAUGUCAGCUUGUUCCUGGUCCCUUCUCACAAUAUAAAAUUGUGGGAAAUAUAAGUAUGGACCAUUCUCUCUCAAAGGACAAGACAAUUACUUGGACUGAGGGUGAAAGAUUUUGGAAGAAGAAUUAAAGACUGCCUUUGAGCAAAUAUACAAAAUGAUGGCUUCUACAGAUUGCUGGUUAUUUAGUUCUCAUUCCCUUCAUGAACUCAAUUUUGGUUACAGUGAAACUGUGCCUAUUAAAAAUACCUUCUCUAGUGACACAGGAGGGGCACGUGGGGAGGUACAAGGAGGCUGUGAGUGCUCUGUCCAUUGUUCUGGAUUACUGACCAGGUGGACAUGCUCACCUUGGGAAAAUCCAUCAAGUUUUAUAUCUGUAAUUUGUGCACUUUUUAUACAUGAAAAGUAAAAAAAAAAGAAAAAAAAAUUCCAUCUCUUCCCCCAUUUCAGCAACACGGCAGUCAUGACAAAUAAGAUACAAGCAGAAUUUGUGUUUUCAAAAUACUUUGAAGGCAGCAGCCUCUGGACCAUGACCCUUGUUGCUUCUCCCUAUCUGGUCCCCUUCCUGCCUGCUCCCAGGAUGUGACCAGGUGGAAAAGACCAUGGGCAGAAGGUGGCUCCGUGAACAUAGGAAGGGGCCCCUUCUUAUGGUUAUGAAAUUUUUCUUUUAUAGUUUCUAAGUUUUGUGUGCUUGUAUUUUUUCCAGUUCAGCAGAAUUAUUAGGAUGUUAAGCCCUUCCUCCUCCCAGUGUGCGUGUGUGUGUGCGCGCGUAUGGGAUCUCACUAUAUUGCUCAGUCUUGAACUCAUGGGCUCAAUCAAACCUCCUGCUGCAGCCUCCCAAGUAGCUGGAACUACAGGUGCAUGGCACAUGCCUGGCUUAUUAACUGAUUUCAACAGUUCUUUUAUGAUUUUUUGGGGGGAGGGGAUACUGGGGAUUUAAUCCAGGGGUGUUUAACCACUGAGCUACAUCCCCAGCCUUUAUUUUUUAUUUUGAAACAAUCUCACUAAGUGGCUAAGACUGGCCUGGAACCUUGUGAUCCUCCGGUCUCAACCUCCAGAGCCACUGGGAUUACAGGCGUGUGCCACUACACCUGGCUAGUAUUUUUAUGAUUUUAUUUUUAUGUUCAAGUCUUGGAUCGAAGUGGAAUAGGAGCCAACUCUCCCCUCCCACCCAUGGUCAACCAGCUGUCCCAACAAUACCUAGUGAAUAACUCUUCCCAACUAUUUUGAAAUGCUAACUUAUUGUUAAAUUUGUAUUUAAAUUGUGUCUUUGUCUUUAAUCACUUUUAUUUAUCUGUCUGAACCUUCUCUAGUACCUAAUUAUUUUGCUUUAUCAUUUGUUUUAGCAUCUAAUAAGGCCAGUCUCCUCAUUACCAUUUUUUCACAACACUCAUGUUAAAAAAGGGGGGCAGUUAAGUUGGAGUCACUCAGAUUGAAAAAUGAAAAAAAAAAAAAAUGGAGAUUGGACCAGAGGCACUUUACCACUGAGCCAUAUCCCCAGACCAUUCUAUUUUAUUUUAAGAUAAGGUCUUGCUAAGUUGCUGAGGCUGACCUCAAACUUGCCAUCCUCCUGCCUCAGCCUCCUCAUCCCUGAGAUCAUAGGCAUGCACCAUCCCACCUGGCUGAAAACUACCUUCAAGAAGUGUUAAAUGGGGCUGGGGUUGUGGCUCAGCGGUAGAGCACUUGUCUCGCAUGCACGGGACCCUGGGUUCGAUCCUCAGCACCACGUAAAAAAUAAAUGAGUGAAAUAAAGGCAUUGUGAAUAAAUAUUUAAAAAAAAAAAAGAAGUGUUAAAUGUGGCCAGUUGACAACACAUGGACAAGAUAUUAGAUAAAAAAUGAUGAAAGGAAAAUAAUGUAACAUAAUCAUAAAAUAUUAGGUUCACUUAUGAUGUCAGAGGUUGCACAAAGCUUCCAUAAUAUAGAUAACAUCUUAACAAUAUCCUUAUUCUAAGUAAUCAUUGUUUUUUCUACAAGUUCUUCCUGGAACCAUCUUAUAUAAAGAGGUCAUAUUUUCUCUUAAUAAUUACUUGUAUCCAGAACUCAGCAUCAAAGAAAUCCCAGCUAUAAUACAUCAAAAACGUAAUACGCUAUGACAUGGAGGUAUAUAUAUAGAGAUAAGCACACAGAUACCCAAGAGAUAUAUUAUCUCAACACUGGUGAUUAUACAGGUCUCAAUGAAGUGUGAAUUCUACACAAAGCAAAAACCACUCUGCCAUUCUAUCCAGUCUAAAAAUAGUCUAUGACAAAAAAACAAAAUGUUAGCAAUUGUGCUUCCCUUUUUGGAAUUCAGGAAGAUCAUGAGGAAAUUAUGUGUGAUGUGCAGGUUCUUUUCAAAAUAAGCUUUCCACAGAAAACGGAAAUGAUCCUUUCUCUUUCGUCUGAUACAUUUCCCUGAAACAAACAGAUGCAUUCAGAAUAAUUCCAUUGACCUUAUUGCUGCAUAUAAUUUUAGGCUUUCCCAGAUCAUGGCUAUUAUAGUUGUAUUUAAAGGCAUCAUUGGGACCGUAACUUAAGUGUAUGAAAGAAAUAUUAGGAGACCUAGUUUCUUGUGUCAUGCC
rnacentral:lncRNA from 1 species